UUGGAGGGCAGUCUGGUGCCAGCAGCCGCGGUAAUUCCAGCUCCAAUAGCGUAUAUUAAACUUGUUGCAGUUAAAAAGCUCGUAGUUGUAUUUCAGCCUCGCGUUUUUUCCCUUUUUUUGGGUCUUUUCGCUGGCUUUUUUUUUACUUUGAGAAAAUUAGAGUGUUUCAAGCAGACUUUUGUCUUGAAUACUUCAGCAUGGAAUAAUAGAGUAGGACCUUGGUUCUAUUUUGUUGGUUUUGAGCCUUGGUAAUGGUUAAUAGGAACGGUUGGGGGCAUUCGUAUUUAACUGUCAGAGGUGAAAUUCUUAGAUUUGUUAAAGACGAACCACUGCGAAAGCAUUUGCCAAGGACGUUUUCAUUAAUCAAGAACGAAAGUUAGGGGAUCGAAGACGAUCAGAUACCGUCGUAGUCCUAACCAUAAACUAAA
rnacentral:rRNA from 1 species